AGAGUUUGAUCCUGGCUCAGAUUGAACGCUGGCGGCAGGCCUAACACAUGCAAGUCGAGCGGCAGCGGGAAAGUAGCUUGCUACUUUUGCCGGCGAGCGGCGGACGGGUGAGUAAUGCCUGGGAAAUUGCCCAGUCGAGGGGGAUAACAGUUGGAAACGACUGCUAAUACCGCAUACGCCCUACGGGGGAAAGCAGGGGACCUUCGGGCCUUGCGCGAUUGGAUAUGCCCAGGUGAGAUUAGCUAGUUGGUGAGGUAAUGGCUCACCAAGGCGACGAUCCCUAGCUGGUCUGAGAGGAUGAUCAGCCACACUGGGACUGAGACACGGCCCAGACUCCUACGGGAGGCAGCAGUGGGGAAUAUUGGACAAUGGGGGCAACCCUGAUCCAGCAAUGCCGCGUGUAUGAAGAAGGUCUUCGGAUUGUAAAGUACUUUCAGCGGGGAGGAAGGCGAUAAGGUUAAUAACCUUGUCGAUUGACGUUACCCGCAGAAGAAGCACCGGCUAACUCCGUGCCAGCCGCCGCGGUAAUAC
rnacentral:rRNA from 1 species